rnacentral:rRNA from 1 species
CCUACGGGAGGCAGCAGUGGGGAAUAUUGCACAAUGGGGGGAACCCUGAUGCAGCGACGCCGCGUGAGUGAAGCAGUCUUUCGGUAUGUAAAGCUCUAUCAGCAGGGAAGAAGAUGACGUUACCUGACUACGCAGCCCCUGCUAACUACGUGCCAGCAGCCGCGGUAAUACGUAGGGGGCAAGCGUUAUCCGGAUUUACUGGGUGUAAAGGUAGCGUAGACGGCUGAGCAAGUCUGAAGUGAAAGCCCGCGGCUCAACUGCGGGACUGCUUUGGAAACUGCCCGGCUAGAGUGCUGGAGAGGUAAGCGGAAUUCCUGGUGUAGCGGUGAAAUGCGUAGAUAUUAGGAGGAACACCAGUGGCGAAGGCGGCUUACUGGACAGUAACUGACGUUGAGGCUCGAAAGCGUGGGGAGCAAACAGGAUUAGAUACCCCUGUAGUC